rnacentral:piRNA from 1 species
UGCUGAGAUUCUGGCGCGUGCUCUAAC